rnacentral:rRNA from 1 species
GACGAACGCUGGCGGCGUGCUUAACACAUGCAAGUCGAACGGAAAGGCCCUGCUUUUGUGGGGUGCUCGAGGGGCGAACGGGUGAGUAACACGUGAGUAACCUGCCCUUGACUUUGGGAUAACUUCAGGAAACUGGGGCUAAUACCGGAUAGGAGCUCCUGCUGCAUGGUGGGGGCUGGAAAGUUUCGGCGGUUGGGGGUGGACUCGCGGCUUAUCAGCUUGUUGGUGGGGUAGUGGCUUACCAAGGCUUUGACGGGUAGCCGGCCUGAGAGGGUGACCGGCCACAUUAGGACUGAGAUACGGCCCAGACUCCUACGGGAGGCAGCAGUGGGGAAUAUUGCACAAUGGGCGGAAGCCUGGUGCAGCAACGCCGCGUGCGGGAUGACGGCCUUCGGGUUGUGAACCGCUGUCGCCUGUGACGAAGCGUGAGUGACGGUAAUGGGUGAAGAAGCACCGGCUAACUACGUG